CUGCUGCCUCCCGUAGGAGUCUGGUCCGUGUCUCAGUACCAGUGUGGGGGACCUUCCUCUCAGAACCCCUACGCAUCGUCGCCUCGGUGGGCCGUUACCCCGCCGACUAGCUAAUGCGCCGCAUGGCCAUCCGCAGCCGAUGAAUCUUUAACCGCCGAGGGAUGCCCCUCUGCGGUGUUACGCGGUAUUAGACGGAAUUUCUUCCGCUUAUCCCCCUGCUGCGGGCAGGUUCCAUACGUGUUACUCACCCGUGCGCCGGUCCGG
rnacentral:rRNA from 1 species